AAUAGAUACCCGGGUAGUCCACGCCGUAAACGAUGAGUGCUAGGUGUUAGGGGGUUUCCGCCCCUUAGUGCUGCAGCUAACGCAUUAAGCACUCCGCCUGGGGAGUACGGUCGCAAGACUGAAACUCAAAGGAAUUGACGGGGGCCCGCACAAGCGGUGGAGCAUGUGGUUUAAUUCGAAGCAACGCGAAGAACCUUACCAGGUCUUGACAUCCCGCUGACCGCCAUGGAGACAUGGCUUUCCCUUCGGGGACAGCGGUGACAGGUGGUGCAUGGUUGUCGUCAGCUCGUGUCGUGAGAUGUUGGGUUAAGUCCCGCAACGAGCGCAACCCUUGUCCUUAGUUGCCAUCAUUCAGUUGGGCACUCUAAGGAGACUACCGUACAAAUACGGAGGAAGGUGGGGAUGACGUCAAAUCAUCAUGCCCCUUAUGACCUGGGCUACACACGUGCUACAAUGGGUGGUACAAAGGGCGGCAAAACCCGCGAGGGGGAGCGAAUCCCAAAAAAGCCACUCUCAGUUCGGAUUGCAGG
rnacentral:rRNA from 1 species